rnacentral:piRNA from 1 species
UUAUGGAAGUUAAACCUGACCAGUCUUUGC